rnacentral:rRNA from 1 species
UACGUUCCCUGCCCUUGUACACACCGCCCGUCGCUACUACCGAUUGAAUGGCUCGGUGAGGCCUUCGGACUGGCCCAGGGAGGUCGGCAACGACCACCCAGGGCCGGAAAGUUGGUCAAACCCGGUCAUUUAGAGGAAGUAAAAGUCGUAACAAGGUCUCCGUAGGUGAACCUGCGGAGGGAUCAUU